rnacentral:tRNA from 1 species
GGGCCCGUAGCGCAGUCCGGAUAGCGCAUCGGCCUUCUAAGCCGAGGGUCGGGGGUUCAAAUCCCCCCGGGCCCGCCA